UCUCCGUAGGUGAACCUGCGGAGGGAUCAUUACAGAGUUUUUGCCCGCAAGGGUAGAUCUCCCACCCUAUGUUAUUCCUUCUCUGUUGCUUUGGCGGGCCGUCCGGCCUCGGUCAGGCCACCGGCUCCGGCUGGUGAGCGCCCGCCAGAGGACCCCAAACCCUAAAUGUCAGUGUCGUCUGAGUACUAUAUAAUAGUUAAAACUUUCAACAACGGAUCCCUUGGUUCUG
rnacentral:misc_RNA from 1 species